GACGAACGCUGGCGGCGUGCUUAACACAUGCAAGUCGAACGGAAAGGCCCUGCUUUUGUGGGGUGCUCGAGUGGCGAACGGGUGAGUAACACGUGAGUAACCUGCCCUUGACUUUGGGAUAACUUCAGGAAACUGGGGCUAAUACCGGAUAGGAGCUCCUGCUGCAUGGUGGGGGUUGGAAAGUUUCGGCGGUUGGGGAUGGACUCGCGGCUUAUCAGCUUGUUGGUUGGGUAGUGGCUUACCAAGGCUUUGACGGGUAGCCGGCCUGAGAGGGUGACCGGCCACAUUGGGACUGAGAUACGGCCCAGACUCCUACGGGAGGGAGCAGUGGGGAAUAUUGCACAAUGGGAGGAAGCCUGAUGCAGCAACGCCGCGUGCGGGAUGACGGCCUUCGGGUUGUAAACCGCUUUCGCCUGUGACGAAGCGUGAGUGACGGUAAUGGGUAAAGAAGCACCGGCUAACUACGUG
rnacentral:rRNA from 1 species